rnacentral:rRNA from 1 species
GCCGCGUGCGGGAUGAAGGCCUUCGGGUUGUAAACCGCUUUUGAUUGGGAGCAAGCCUUUUGGGUGAGUGUACCUUUCGAAUAAGCGCCGGCUAACUACGUGCCAGCAGCCGCGGUAAU